GGCUUCCCUUCCAAUCUUUCAGUUCUGGGAAAGCUGAACUACUGCUUCCGUUGCCUGGAGACUGGAGGGUCCAAGAGAACCACGUGGUGAAGCAAUGUGGACCUGGAGUCAUAAAAACAUCUUUCUGAAUUCGAUUCUGGCCUCAGAUUCUUACUAUGUGACCCUGGAUUGGCUGAAAAAUAUUUGUCAUACAAGUCCAGGACAUGGAGGAAUCAGUUACUUCUCUUACCGGGUCCUCUGGAUUGGCAAAACCUAGGAAUAUUUGCUCCAGUGUGGUCUGACUGAUGGAAUAGUCUUCCAAAUUGUACAACACUUUGACUUCCUCCAAGACACCAAAUACCUUUGGGACAAUAAAAAGACAAUUAAGGCUCUGAAAAAAA